CUCUCCUUUAAAACUGGUAUCUUUGGGGCAGGGGCCGGGUGAGUAUGGGUUAGUAGAGGAACAUGAUUAAUUUAAAGAUUUCAAAGGAAUAGCAUACCUAGCCUUACACAUGCCUGAUAAUUGAAGAGCCAGUGAUUUGCAAUGUGCUGUGUGAUUUACUUAAAGGCUACUCGUUUUCCUUUGUAACCUAACAAAAUGUACUCAUUUAUUAUAUGCAGUUUGGUUUGUAAAACCCACUUUCUGACUGUAUAAAAGAGAGAAACGUUUCUGUCAUUCCCUUUGGAUGUUGUUAAGUUCUGUUAUGUGAAAUUUUUUGGCAAAUAAAAUAUUAUUCAUAUAUGUCUUGCUGAGUAACAUUUUAUUGGGUUUCCCUUGCAAUCAUUAAGAUGAACUACACCCUUAUUCCUU
rnacentral:lncRNA from 1 species